rnacentral:tRNA from 1 species
GCCGCCGUAGCUCAGCCAGGUAGAGCAGCGGGCUGUUAACCCGUUGGUCGUCGGUUCGAAUCCGACCGGCGGCG